CCCUCCUUCCCCUUCCCCUCAGAGGCGCGGGCGCCAUUUUGCGAGCAGCGCCCGAAGGCGGCGGCGGCGGCGGGAGCGGGGCCGAGAGCGGUUUUAUUGCGCCGGCGGCGACCGUAAGUGCCAAAUUCUCCUUUUUUCACCCCAAAAACCGACCCCCCCCCC